GGGGCUGUAGUUCAGUGGUAGAAUGUGUAUUUGGUGUGCACAAGGCUUUGAGUUCCAUCUCCAGCACCA
rnacentral:tRNA from 1 species